AGUUUGUAUACCGCUGUUGUCAGUUAGUUUCUUUAGAAAGCUUUCUAUCAUGAGAAAAUCAUAGACUUCAAGUAAAGGUGCAGCUUAUAUAAAAGAUAGAGGUGGGUUACAUUUAAAAGAUUAAAACGAAUAAAGUUUAUGAAAUAACUUUUAAAGGUGGAUUUAAUUGUAAAGUUUAAGAAAACUUGAUGUGAGCUCUAUCUUGUGUACAC
rnacentral:rRNA from 1 species